AAAAAACAACAACAAUAAAAAUCCUCAGAUUUUCUCUCUUCUUUUGUGCCAGAUUACAUUUUUGUCACAGACUUGGCAGAUGGCUCUUUCACCUACACUGAAUUCCACCAAACUUCAGCUCAUAGACACUUGAGAAGAUGUGGACAAUAGUCAAUCAACAAGACUUGAAAGAGGCUGGCAAGCAUGCAUGUAGCACUGCCCCCAUGCAGCAGCUUGGUUAAAAAGAUGAGUGCAUUACCCUGAAGGAUGUCAAUUACCCUGAAGGAUGUCACACCAAAGCAAAGGCUUAAUAAUUCAGCCCCGAGACCAGCACGUGUUGUUUAGCAGUGGAGCCAGCUGUCAUGCUUUCUCAAGUUGUGACCUCAUCGGAUUUACGAAGGAUCUGAAGCAGAACCUGUGUCCUGCCACUCUUGGUGUGAAGAACGCUACAGUCCAUUAUUCUGGGCAGGUAAGUUUUUUCCUUAUUUUCAUAAUGUGAUGCCUCAUGCACUAUACAACCAAUGAAGGCUGUGUUAUAUAGGAGACAGUGAGAGGCAGAAAAGUUGAAUUUUAACACUUUCAGCUGUGUCACAUAUCUAGUUUCUGCACAAAUUCAGAAAUCCGUAUAUGACCCACAAGCAGCUUACACAAGAAACCAUCAUCUUGCUAAUAAUACUCAGAUGUAGUUGUGAAUAGCAAAUAUACAUGAAGGGAGCUUGCACUGGCAUAAAGGAAGAGUGACUGACAGGAUAAUAGCACUGAGGGGCGUAUUUUGGGAAUUUCUCACUAGGUACAUGGGACUGUGAGGUUGGUCCCCUCCAGAGCAGGCUGCAAGGUGCUGCAUUUCUCCCGCACACCUCAGUUGUUCUAGUUGUGUGUUCAGAGGAUAGAUAAGCUGCUAAUGUGCAAUAUGAAUUGCAUUUUUAAGAGUUUGUAAAAUGUUUCCAGCUGAGGUUACCCCUCAGACUCAUUUGACCUUAGGGGGAAAAAAAAAAAAAAAAAGACACUCGUUGGGUGAUUUUCUAUAUCAUAGUAGGAAAUGUUUUAAAUAAGUUAAAUGAACAUGUAUUGGGUUUACAUGGCAAAGGUUUGGUAGCAAGGGGCUGCAGGGGUGGCCUCUGUGAGCAGAGCCCAGCAGCGGCCCCAUGUCAGAGCAGAGCCAGCUCCAGCCAGCUCCAAAAGGGACCUGCUGCUGGCCAGAGCCCAGCCAGGGAGCGAUGCUGGGUGGGCCUCUGGGAGAGCAGAGUUAAGGAAGGGAAACAACGCCAUGCAACAGCAGCUGGGAGAGAGGGGUGAGAACAUGUGAGGGAACCAGCCCCCUGCUGCCCCCGAGGUCAUUGCAGCAGGAGGUGCUCCAGGUGCCAGAGCCAAUGUUUCCCUGUAGACUGUGGAGAGGCCCCUGGUGGAG
rnacentral:lncRNA from 1 species